GGUUGUUUGGCCGAGCGGUCUAAGGCGCCUGAUUCAAGCCCUCAGGUAUCGUAAGAUGCAAGAGUUCGAAUCUCUUAGCAACCA
rnacentral:tRNA from 1 species